AGCGACCUCAUACCAUUGAGAAACAUUGAAUGAUCAGGAAUCUGGGGGAAAAGAAACUGAAGGGAAGCCUCACACCAAUUAGACCAGAAAAAGUUCAUGCUAAUGAUAACAGCAACUGUAUUUUUUGUGCUCAGCUUGCAGCAAUGGAAGGUGAAAAAGCCGCUGCUUAAAAUGACUGAUGGAAACUAUUAGAAAUUAUAUGAUGUUGUUACUGAACACCAUGAAGGACAGAACCCUUCAAAUACCAGCUAAUAAGAAGUCUUGCAAUACACCAUCUAUAAGUAGAAGAUAAGAGAUGUGUGAACCUUUGAAUUGGUGUUCAGACACCCUGUAGAGGAGACAUGACCAUAGAGAUCCUCAAUCAGUGCAAGCUGGAAGCCUACUACAGCAUCUGCCAAGCAUAACAAAUAAUAAUACACAUAAAAUAAAAAAUCACAGUAAAAUAUAUCCCAUCCCAGCAGUUUGUUCAAAUAUUUAUUAUGCCAAUGAAUUUAUAUAAAUAGAUAAUGUGCUUCAAUGUAAAUCUAUGCAAUGUGUGGUUUUCUCAUAUGGGAGACAAUAAAAUAACCUUGACCCUUGA